rnacentral:rRNA from 1 species
UACGGGGGGGGCAAGCGUUGUUCGGAAUUACUGGGCGUAAAGGGCUCGUAGGUGGCCAACUAAGUCGGACGUGAAAUCCCUCGGCUUAACCGGGGAACUGCGUCCGAUACUGGUUGGCUUGAGUUCGGGAGAGGGAUGCGGAAUUCCUGGUGUAGCGGUGAAAUGCGCAGAUAUCAGGAGGAACACCGGUGGCGAAGGCGGGUCUCUGGGCCGAUACUGACGCUGAGGAGCGAAAGCGUGGGGAGCGAACAGG